UGUUGGUGUCCUUAUUUCCUUGCCUCACCUAGUAUUCUAGUACAUGUAUUCCCUCUUCUUCCAUCUCUUUUAUAUUGACCUUGUGUCCUUAUUUCCUUGCCUCACCUAGUAUUCUAGUACAUAUAUUCCCUCUUCUUCCGUCUCUUUUAUAUUGACCUUUAUAUAAUUAAGGAAUUUAACCUAAGAAAAUGGUGAAAAUUUGCUGCAUUGGAGCUGGGUAUGUUGGAGGUCCUACCAUGGCAGUCAUUGCCCUCAAGUGCCCCUCAAUUCAAGUGGUUGUUGUUGACAUCUCUGUCUCUCGUAUCACGGCCUGGAACAGUGAACAGCUCCCCAUUUAUGAGCCGGGUCUUGAAGAUAUAGUGAAGCAGUGCAGAGGAAAGAACCUUUUUUUCAACACUGAUGUGGAAAAAAAUGUUGCAGAGGCAGACAUCAUUUUUGUUUCAGUUAACACCCCAACCAAAACUCAGGGCCUUGGAGCUGGCAGAGCUGCAGACCUGACAUAUUGGGAGAGUGCAGCCAGGUUGAUUGCUGAUGUUUCAACAUCCAACAAGAUUGUUGUUGAGAAGUCAACUGUCCCAGUGAAAACAGCCGAGGCAAUUGAAAAGAUCCUCUCUUUCAAUAGCAAGGGCAUCAACUAUCAAAUUCUCUCAAACCCGGAAUUUCUUGCUGAGGGAACAGCUAUUCAGGACCUCUUUAACCCUGAUCGGGUUCUCAUUGGAGGGAGAGAAACCCCUGAUGGCCAAAAGGCAAUUCAAACAUUGAAAGAUGUAUAUGCGCAUUGGGUGCCUGAAGACAGGAUCAUCACAACCAAUCUCUGGUCAGCAGAGCUCUCAAAGUUAGCUGCCAAUGCUUUCUUGGCCCAGAGGAUUUCGUCUGUCAAUGCUAUGUCAGCUCUCUGUGAGGCAACUGGGGCAGAUGUUUCACAGGUUUCCCAUGCUGUUGGUAAGGACACCAGAAUUGGAUCCAAGUUCCUUAAUGCUAGUGUUGGUUUUGGUGGAUCUUGCUUUCAAAAAGACAUACUCAACUUGGUCUAUAUUUGUGAUUGCAAUGGCCUACCUGAAGUUGCCAACUACUGGAAACAAGUCAUUAAGGUGAAUGACUACCAAAAGAAGCGGUUUGUGAACAGGGUUGUCUCUUCAAUGUUCAACACAGUUUCUGGUAAAAAGAUUGCCAUACUUGGGUUUGCCUUUAAGAAGGAUACUGGGGAUACAAGGGAAACGCCAGCAAUUGAUGUGUGCAAAGAGCUGUUGAGAGAUAGAGCACGGUUGAGCAUAUAUGAUCCACAAGUCACCAUGGAUCAGAUCCAAAGGGAUCUCUCGAUGGACAAGUUUGAUUGGGAUCAUCCAGUUCAUCUCCAGCCAAUGAGCCCUAGUACUGUGAAGAAAGUGAGCAUAGUUUGGGAUGCUUAUGCGGCUGCAAGGGAUGCUCAUGCGAUCUGCAUUCUAACCGAGUGGGAUGAGUUCAAGACCCUUGAUUACCAAAGGAUUUUUGAUAAUAUGCAGAAACCUGCAUUUGUGUUUGAUGGUAGAAACAUGGUGAAUGUCAAGAAGCUGAGGGAGAUAGGAUUCAUUGUGUACUCAAUUGGGAAGCCAUUGGACCCAUGGAUUAAGGACAUGCCUGCUGUGGCAUAAGAUGAAUAUCCUCUCUUGUGAAUUGAAAGCUGCACCUGAGCAUUAGAGCAUAAUGUGCUGACAAAUUUAUUGCAAGUUAAAAAGGUGCUCAUAUUGUGGAGAAGUGAUAAGGAAUUUCUUGCUGCUUCAGUGGUCAAAAUGGCUUUUCAUCAUUCAAAGAUUUCGUUUGUGGUAGUCUACGAAAGCUUGUGAAAGCUUGAUGCAUGAGAGGUAUAUGAUGAGGAAAAUGCGAAACCAGAUCUGACUGAAGAACAAUUUAAAAUUUGUGCUUGAUUUAUGGGGAAAGUGAAACAAUUUCUCAUAUCAAAGAAAGUUCAGGGUAAUUGGAAGAAAAACCUAGUGACAAUGUUUAUUUCAAGGACAUGGAAUGGAUUUAUUUGAGAUUGCUCUUAACAAA